UGAGUAGAUUAGAUGAUCGCGGGUACCGGGCCGAAAGGUGGUAUCUGAGGAAAGUCCGAGCUCCGCAGGGCAGGGUGCUGGGUAAUACCCAGUGGGGGCGACCCUAAGGAAAGUGCCACAGAGAUAUACCGCCAAGUUGAACUUGGUAAGGGUGAAAAGGUGAGGUAAGAGCUCACCAGCAACCAGGCGACUGGUUUGGCUAGGUAAACCCCACCCGGAGCAAGACCGAAUAGGGGAACGCAGGGUGGCCCGUCCAGUUCCCGGGUAGGUCGCAUGAGGCGUCUGGUAACAGCCGUCCUAGAUAGAUGAUCAUCCACGACAUAACUCGGCUUACAGAUCUGCUCAACUG
rnacentral:RNase_P_RNA from 1 species